rnacentral:lncRNA from 1 species
GUGAGAAUGUGGUCACCUUGACACAGCAACCAUAUGAUUAAGGGCAUGGUCUAAAAUUUCCCUUUCAUUCCACAUGGCACAUGGAGGUUGGAAUGAUUUUACAUGUUUUCAUUUUUUGUUCUAUGUUUUAUUUUAAAACUACAUAAGCAGCCAUCUUUGGUUGAAAGUGAACACAUGCAGUGCCCUGUGUUUUUAGAACUACCACACGGCUCAGGAAUAAAGGCUGAGAUGCAAUGUCCAUGCUCAGUAGACACCCUUGAAUGAAUGAAUGAAGAGCACAGAACCCAGAUUCCAAAAGGUGAAUUAAUUUUGGAGCCAAAGCCAAAAGCAAGACCAACAGGAAGCCUAGGGUGUGAGAAAAGCAUUUUUAAAAACUGGUGAUUG